rnacentral:lncRNA from 1 species
AGAGGGGAGAAGAGAAGAAUUUGAUGGCUUCGGAUUCGAGUUUACUUAUGAAUUCCAUAGGAACAUCAUGGUUUAUGAUUUUGAAGAAUCCAAAUUCUUCGCAGGCAUUAACGAUGAGGUUUUUGGAGUCGGGUUUAGAGAGGUCUAUCAAUGGAACACCAUUGAAGAAUGAGGUUUGUUUGGACAAGAUCACCAUGGUGAGUGUUAUGUUGACAAGUAUUUGGUUGUAUAGAAAUGUAUGAGUUUUUGUGUAGUUGUAUGCAAGGCCAUGCUUUGCUAUUUAUAGGGAACUCAGAGUCCUAAACCCCACGUCCAUACUAUUGAGCAUACGCAAGAUUUUACGUAAGCGUGUGAAAAUACUUAAUGAAUUAGUUUGAUAAAAAAUGAGUUGCUUAGAUGGUAAGCCGUAACGAUUCUUAUUUUUAAUUGAAUGAUUCUAAGUUUGAGUCACUAAAAAAACAAAAAUAACGAGAACUCGUAGGAAUGGGUAUAAAAAAAACUAAAUAAUUGGGUUUAUUAUCGUUCGGCUCUCGAACUUUGGGAUCCUAUUGCUUCCUUUCGAUAUAUUGAUGUUUUUAAGUAAUAUUAUUGAUAUAAAGCGAAUUUUAGGAAUUGUUGUGGCUCUGAUUCGGAGCAAAUUUUUAGAAAUUAUUGUGGCUCUUAUACAGAGCGAAUUUGGAAAACUCACAGUAUGUUUCGUAAUUAUUCAAACCAUUGUUAUGUUUGAUCAGUAGGUCUCAAACUAUUACUAUUUCUAAAAGUUUCCUAAUACUCCCUCCGUCCACAAUUGUUUGUCAGGGUAAGGUCAUGCACACCCCUCAAGGAAAAUUUAAUACAAGGUGUAAUUUGACUAAUAUAACCCUACUAUACCAAGAAUACCAAAAGUCCACAUAACUUUUCAAUUGAACUACACUAUCAUUAAGGGCAGAAUUGGAAAAAAGUGACUAAUUAUUUCUUGAUUGUUUAAAUUGACAAUUAAUCUUGGACAUCUAUUUUUUUUCAAUUAUGUAAUGUUUAUUUAAUUGUAUUUCAUUAAUGAUUUCACUUUUAUUUGCAUCAUCCAUUAUUAUGUAUAAUGUAUAAUAUUUGCUACUCCCUCCGUCCACAACUGUUUGUCAGGGGACGGUCAUGCACACCCCUCAAGGAAAAUUUAAUACAAGGUGUAAUUUGACUAAUAUAACCCUACUAUACCAAGAAUACCAAAAGUCCACAUAACUUUUCAAUUGAACUACACUAUCAUUAAGGGCAGAAUUGGAAAAAAGUGACUAAUUAUUUCUUGAUUGUUUAAAUUGACAAUUAAUCUUGGACAUCUAUUUUUAGUAUACCUGCCAAACAAUUGUGGACGGAGGGAGUAUUAUUAUCCCAACGAUGUUAGUCUAUCACAAAUAUAUAUAACUAAAUUUUUCAGCGGAACGGUUUUGAGUGACACCAAUUCAUUUAAUACACACCAUACUUUUGGAAGAAACUUAUUUGCAUUCAUGUAUUAUGAAAUUUCAUCGCUUGCCAAUAUGUUUUCUUUUUGAUAAACGACUUCCAAUGUUAAGUAAUUGACUUGACGUAAAAACAUGACGACAAUUACCUCCACCUAUCAAUAUGUUCUUAUAAAUAGUAAGACGAUAGGAACAACCUAAAGUAACUCCUAGACUAUUUGAAUUUACAGACUAUUAUCCAUUUAAACAAAUCAAGAAUUUUUAUAUUUUUUCAUAUCGUCUUUAAUAUUAAAUUAACUACAUAAAGUAAUAGUAGUAAUAUCAUUAAUAAGAUUAGUUUAAUUAAAUAUACUUCUAAUUAAGAAUUUAUAAAAAAAUAUGUCAGAUCAACACGAGACAGAACAUGACACUUUUCUAAUUAAAUUAUUAGCCAAUUAAUAGAGAGAAUGAACAAUUCUCCAAACAUUAAUGAUUUGCAAUUUAAGUGGUAGAUGAAAUGGCUACAUUUUCAAUAGUAUGAUUAAAUAAAAGUCUCACUCAGUAGGCUAUAGGUACAGUAGAGGGAUGCACUUGGUCUAAUCAACUAAACAAAUUAAAUAACACGUCAUAAUAAAUAACACAUCUAUAUAUUAAAAUAUAAAUAGUGAUGUUUUUUCAACUAAUUAAUCAGAACAACGGAUUGAAAUUCAAUUGUGAGUUCGAGUACUACAUUUAAUACUACAACAGAUUCAAAUAAUCGAUCAUAACUUAUUUAUAUAUACUCAGUUUAUCCCAAUUUUUAUGUUAUAAAUCACAAAGAUCAAUUCCGAGCCCCACAGGCCACAGCAACUUUUUCAUGUCAACUUUCUAGUCGAAUCAGUGCUGAAUAUUCACUUAAAAGUUAAAACUAAUAAAUUGUUCUCCAAAUAAAACAUGUACAGGAAAUUAAUUCAUUACUACCACUGUCCAAACUCAAAAAAAAAAAAAAAAGUAUUUCAGCAUGUAUUUUAUUUAGGGAAAAUUGUAUAUAAUAACAAACUAUUAAUUCAAAUUAAAUGUUAUAGACAUAGUUUGAUUUAAUUGUACCCCAUAGCAAAUUGUUGCUAUUUCGCCUCUCACCUAGUGAAUCUCGCUCGCCACUCUCGUUCUCGAUGGCAGUCUCCCUCGCCUCUCUCGCUCUUAUACAAACACAAAUGUAUAAAAUGUGUUUGUGUUUGUAUAAAACGAUAGAAAAUUGUAUAUAUACAUAUAUUUUCGUCCCCCUCUCUCCCCUCUCCCAGAUCUCACUCGCCACUCUCACUCGCCUCUCUAACUUUAUACAAACACAAAUGUAUAUAUUGCAUUUGUGUUUGUAUAAAGCGAUAGAAAAUUGUAUAUACAAAUACAAAUGCUUAUAUUUUCGUCUUAUACACUUAUGAUUAUACAAAUACGAUCUUCCCCUGCCCAGUUUUCUUUUGUCUUUCUCUCUUUCUCGCUUUAUACAAACACAAAUUAUACAACUGAUCUUUUGUAUAUGUAUACCGAAAUAGAAACAGAUUAUACAAUUGCUUUCUUUUUGUAUAUGUAUAACGAAAUAUAUAUAUUUAUGUUUGUUAUGGAGUGCAAUUAUGUAAACUAUAGCUAUAGCAUACAAAUAUGAUUUUUAUGUUUGCUUUAGGUGAAAGUUGCUCCUUUUUCAAGGUUUUACUUAUUGUAAAUCAAGUUAUUAUAAUAUGUUUUGCUUCCUAAGAAAAAGAUAUUGUGUUCUUUUUAGGACGUAAAGAAUGUAUUUUAAAACAAGUUUACAUUAUGUAAUCCGUCUACUUACGCAAUUAAUUAAGUAUUCCCAGAUUAGAUUUAAUUUAAUUAAUUAAUUCAGCAAGAUUUGAUCCACUGAUUAUGACUUUUAAGUAGGCUUAACUUUAAAUUAUUUUUUCUUUUCAACAUUGGUAGGCAUUUGAAAUGACACCUUCUAAAAUUAUUAUUAAUGGUGCAUAAAUCAAUGUUAAUAAACUUCAAGGAAAUAUGUUGAUAUACAAGUAUACCUUAAAAGUAAUUACUCUCAAAAUUAUCUAUAAUAAUAACAUCAUUUAUCUGAAUAUUUAGUUCAUGUCAUACCUGACGUCUUAUAUGUAUGUAUUAUGUUGUAUAAGAUAUAUGUGUUGGUCUGUUCGUUUUUAAAGGGCUCGUUUAUGUAUUAUGUCGGAGAUUUAUUUGGGUGAUGGUCCAUAGUGAGGAUGAGUCAACUUCAGCUGAGUAGUCAGUCAAAUCCAUUUGGAUGAUGGGAUCCCUUGGUUUCCCCUUCCCCAUGUUUUCUCUUCUGGGCUAUUCUUCUUCCCAUAUUCUCCUGUUUUUUUCCCAUCUUUUUCAAAUUUAAUGCUCUGUCAUCAUCACCAAUUAAACAUUGUCUUUUCAUUUUCAAAAUAAAUGCUCUUAUUCAAAAUAUCAUAUAUUUUAAAAUUAUAUUUUUAUAGUUUAUUUACUCUUUAUUUAUAACAUGUGUUUGAAGCAAAAAUAAAAUAAAAUAUUAACAUGUUUAAGGUCAUAAAUUUAAUGCUGGUCGAUUAAGAAUUCGCAUGUUCAGAAAAUGUAUGUAAUGAAAAUUAUGAUGUUGAGAUGGAUGUAAAAGCAUAUUAAAAGAGAUAAGGAUUAAAUGUGGGGGAAAAGGAGUGAAAUUAGGGCUUCUAUGUGGAGGUGGGUGUGUUGGCGUGCACAUGUGGAGGUCCAUGUGGUAUUUUAAUACACACAUGGAUGCAACAUAACUCUUCCGUUAAACAGAAGGAUAAGUGUGGUCCAAUAGUUAGACGAGAAGGACACUUUUGAGCUGAAAGAUAGUUUAAGGAUAUAUUUAAUCUAUUUUGAAUAGUUUAAGAGUAGUUUUGACUCUUUUCUUUUAUAAAUAUUCAGUUAAAUACGAUCAUAUAAAUUAAAAAAAGUUAUUUUUAAUUGUUAGAAUCAAAACCACGUGUUAAAAGCAUACCCCACCACAUAAAAGUGCCACGUCAACACUUUUAUGUAUUGUCGGGGACGAACCAAUAAGUUUUAUCAGCAACAUCGUUGCCCUUUAUUAUUCGUCGGUUACAUUCAUAGUAUACUAUAAAAAUUAUAAUUCACAUUUUUUUAACACAUCAAAAUUAUGAUAUUUAUGAAAAUAUGAUAAGACACUGUGGGUCCAUUAAGCUGACGUGGAAUAUUGUUAUUCUCAAAAUCCAAUAUUAGUGUUUCUACUCCAAUAUAUCUUCCAUUUGUCUAAAUUCAUCCCUCCAUUUUCAAAAAAAUUCUAUUAUGAAUCAAAGAAUCGCUACAUGGAAAAUAAUCUUUAGUGUAUAUUAAUUAAUGACAAUGAUCACUUUUAAAGCUUCUAGCAAUAUGGAAUUCAAUAAUAAUUAACUGAUGUCAAUAAGAUUUUAGCGUUCUUUUUGUAAAUGUAUAUAUAUAUAUAUAUAUAUAUAUAUAUAUAUAUUUAUUACUGCUAAAAGAGGAUGAUAUUAUGUUGAAUUGAUAUUGUUGACCUUAUGAACUCAUUGUUAAACAUUUGAUGUGAAACUCUUCAUUUGCUUUUUUUGAAAUAUGCUUGAUGUGAAGUACGUUAGUGGAGAGGGGCAUAUUUGAUCCAUCUUGAAUAUUGUAAGGAUAUUUUGUGCCAAAAAGUAAAUGAAAGGUAUAAUUGGUUUAUUUCAAUAGUUUAGGGGCACAUAUAUUUAUUUCACUUGGCUAACGAUAGAGGCAUUUUUGUGACAAAAUGAAAACAAGAGGGUGUAUACUCUACCUCAAUAGUGUAGGGGCAUUUGAUGACCCUCUCUCUUUUUGAAAUCUUGUCGUUAUUCUUUAAAUGAGCACUCAUUUUGUGCAUGCAUAACUCAUAAAUUAAACCAUAUAGGAGAUGUAAGCAUAGUGCGACGGACUUCAUUUAGAGGGCGUUGGUAGAGAGAAUCGAUCUCUGACCUCAUUUAUGAAAUAUCAUUUGUUGUACCAAUUCAGUCACCCGUAAAUCUUCUUUCUUGUCUCUUUUUUUUUUCUUCUCUUUAUGGUAGAACAUAAAUUGGUCACAUUUGGGACUGAUAAUUUGGUUUGGCAUAGGUGCAUUUCAUUGUUCCCUUAUUUGGGGGAUGUAUGCUCCAUUUUCUUCUAGUGUCAAAUGACAUCAAGAAGUAACAAUUAUUACUUUCUCAGACCAAAUAAAAUAUACACAUUUAAUUUACCGAAUAUUAGGAAUAAAUUAAAAUUAGGUAAAAUUAUUACACCAACUUUGAUAUAUAGAAGUUUAGUAAUCUGAACUAUUAAACCAUGAUGAUAUACUUUAUAUCAAAUCCAAUGGUUUUAAAGCAGGAAAAAUGUGUUACUUAAAACAAUGGGUAUAUAAGAAGAAAAAAAAGACCUAAUUUAAAAAGGGUAAUCUUUUUUAUUUAUGGGAAUCUGACUGAUUGAGACCUAAGUGAGUAUGACAUGCAACUAAUUAAUUUUUCUAAUACUUAUCAAUAAUUUAAUUCCGGUAAAGGUACAUCAUCAAUUGAUAAUCAAACUUUUUGGUUCAACAUUAUUAUUAAUGAUGGAAUUGGUCUUAAUUAAACAUUGAAAAUUAUAUAAUGAGUGUCUUUCUAACUAAUAAGCUAAGUACUUGUUCAAAAUUUUCUUUACAAUUAUUGUUUAAAAAGGAGUAGUGAGCGUGAGGCUUGUGGUGGGACAUUUUACCUAAGGUGUGUUUUUCCCCUGUAAAAUGUCAUUAGUUGAUAGUUUGAUUUAAAAUAUCAAUGUCGUUAAUAGUUUAGUUCAAAAUUAUUUAUAUUGUUACUAAUGAGUCAAAAAUGCGAUUUUUCCAAAUAAUUAUAUUUUUUCUUUUCUUUUUAAACACAUUCUUGUCCUUCGUCGUUGAACUUCACUAUUUUGACUAUUUUGCAAAACUGCCAACGCAACGUUCUUGACAGACACUCGAAUGCUCACGAUUGCAACCCCUUCUACUCACAUAAACCUUGUAAUAAAGUGUAAAAACAUCUAAAAUGACGAUAUAACAACAUAAUUAUGAGUAAGAUAUAUGAUAUGAUAACGUAAUAUAAAUAUAUACUUUUAGUCAAGUGUCAAGUAUAUAUCAUGAUUACACUUUGAAUAUAUAUGUAGCUUCUUUUUCUUUCUUUUUUUCCAGCUAUUAAUAUGAAAAACUUUAUUCGCACACCUAACAAUACGCUGUAUCAAGUCCAAAGCAAGUUUUAAGAAUUAAUGACUUCUAAAACUCUUGUUACAUGUGGAAAUCAAGAUCAUUAAUAAAUGUGAACCCAUUGACCAUUGCUGUCCAUGAAUAAUUCUUAGUUAGUUAAUUAAAAGUGAUGUUUUGUUAGUUCAAAGUCUUGUUAUAUAAAGAUGUUGAUUAAUAGUAUGUAGAAAAGGACGUGUAACUUACAAAUGCGUGCAUAUUGAAUUAUUAUAUUAAGAUUGAUUGAUACCGCAACAUACACUAAUUACAAUUAUUAGGAAACCUUUCUUAAAUAAGUGAGAUCUAUUUGGCACAUUUUCUUCAUAAACGGCAAGCAAAAAAAGAUAUUAAAGAAACGAUGUGACAAAUUAUUUAAAAAGACUAAAAUUAAUUUCCAUAAAAUGUUCAAAACAUAUACAAAAAGAUAUUAAAGAAAAAGUAGUACCGAGGAGUAUUCGGAACUCAAUGUUUAUGAAUAUUUACAAUAGGCUUAAUUAAAAUUAAUAGUAUACAAUAAUAAUCAAAGUAACAUACAUACAAAUAUUUAUAGAUAUAUGGUAAAUGUUUUAAUAUUUAUAUAAAUAGUGUGUGACAAAAAUUACUGAAAAUAACAUUCAAACAUUUAUAGAUAUAUAGUGAUUUUUUUAAUAUUUAUAUAGUAGUGUCAAACAACAAUUACUGAGAAUAUCCCAUCACUAUAUUCAAGCAUUCCUAUCGGUUAAAUUUUUCGCAUUAGUUCAUGCAAUGGUUAAUUUUAAACAAUCAUAUAUCUCUAAAUAUUAAUAGCUAGGUGACAUAUGUCCUAUCAAAUUAAAGGUCUAUGAGUUUUUUCUAAUGUCAUCAAGUUUGCAUCAAAUUAAAGGUCUAUGGUGAAUGUUUUAAUAUUUAUAUAAAUAGUGUUUGACAAAAAUUACUGAAAAUAACAUUCAAACAUUUAUAGAUAUAUAGUGAUUUUUUUAAUAUUUAUAUAGUAGUGUCAAACAACAAUUACUGAGAAUAUCCCAUCACUAUAUUCAAGCAUUCCUAUCGGUUAAACUUUCCGCAUUAGUUCAUGCAAUGGUUAAUUUUAAACAAUCAUAUAUCUCUAAAUAUUAAUAGCUAGGUGACAUAUGUCCUAUCAAAUUAAAGGUCUAUGAGUUUUUUCUAAUGUCAUCAAGUUUGCAUCAAAUUAAAGGUCUAUGGUGAAUGUUUUAAUAUUUAUAUAAAUAGUGUUUGACAAAAAUUACUGAAAAUAACAUUCAAACAUUUAUAGAUAUAUAGUGAUUUUUUUAAUAUUUAUAUAGUAGUGUCAAACAACAAUUACUGAGAAUAUCCCAUCACUAUAUUCAAGCAUUCCUAUCGGUUAAACUUUCCGCAUUAGUUCAUGCAAUGGUUAAUUUUAAACAAUCAUAUAUCUCUAAAUAUUAAUAGCUAGGUGACAUAUGUCCUAUCAAAUUAAAGGUCUAUGAGUUUUUUCUAAUGUCAUCAAGUUUGCAUCAAAUUAAAGGUCUAUGGUGAAUGUUUUAAUAUUUAUAUAAAUAGUGUGUGACAAAAAUUACUGAAAAUAACAUUCAAACAUUUAUAGAUAUAUAGUGAUUUUUUUAAUAUUUAUAUAGUAGUGUCAAACAACAAUUACUGAGAAUAUCCCAUCACUAUAUUCAAGCAUUCCUAUCGGUUAAACUUUCCGCAUUAGUUCAUGCAAUGGUUAAUUUUAAACAAUCAUAUAUCUCUAAAUAUUAAUAGCUAGGUGACAUAUGUCCUAUCAAAUUAAAGAUCUAUGAGUUUUUUUUUAAUGUCAUCAAGUUUGCAUCAACAAGAAUUUGGAGUACUAAAAAAUUAUGACUAUUUUAUCAGAGACACGAUCAGUAAAGAAUUUCAGAAAUAGUUAAGAACUCUAUCGCUAGACCAUUGUUAAAUUACUCGUAUAACUAAUAAACUUUUUUUUUAUUAAUGAUUGAUUUGGCUUUUUAGCUACGCCUAUUAUUCUUAUUUUGUUUAAUAAUACAUAAACUCGUAGAUUAUAUUCUGAAUCCGCCCAAUGUUUGUGUGAAAAAAGGUACAAUGGACAUUGAAUCAAAAUGUGGUUGAUAAAUCUUAGAGACCCCUCUCAGUCCCUUUCAUGAUCUUCUAAUUUUGGUCAAAAAGGAAAGUUCCACAUACCCCACCCCCCACUUCACCUCCUUCGAAUUGUCACGUUUGUAACUGACUACUCUCAAAUAUUGUAUUAUAUUAUUUCUAUUUUAUGUUUUGUGCAGAUAAAAAGUAUGAUGUUUCAGCUCAACUAACUCAAAGAAUGAUCACAAAAAUGAUUUAAAAAAAAUAAAAAGUAGAAAGAUUUUGUCAAUCUUUAAUGUUCACAUCCAAUGUAUUCAAAAUCUAUCACUAAAUUUAGAACAUCAUGAAAAAGAGUUGUCGUAAGAGUACUUAUUGGUGUGGUACUCCGUCCCACAUUGUGGAUUCAAUUUAAAUUUUUUGUUGAUGAUUCAAAAAAAAUAAUAAUAAUAUAUAUAUAUAGAAGAAGUUAAUUAAGAAAAUUUGACGUUUAUUAUAUAUACAUAAAAAAAAAUUGACAUCAUAUUAUAUAAUUCAUAUACAAUGUAAAUUUUUAACAAAUUGUUCAUAUAAACCCCUUGUGACCCCUAGCUCCGCGCUACUAAUUAAUCUCAAACCUUCAAAUUAUUCAACAAGAAGAAUUAUAUUGUAGGUACACUUUCAUAAUUUGAAAGUUAUUAUUAUAGUUUUUUGAAAUACAAAAUUUAAUAGUAUUAAAUUUCACUAGUCUAAUUAUAAUCAGACAUUUCACUAAUGAUAGAGACUAAGUUUUUUUUAAACCGAUUUUUUCUAUUAGGUCAUCUACUUAUAUUAUAUGUUCUUUAUAGCAUCAUUUCGCUCUAACAAUAUAAAAAAACCGAAAAAAUUGACUAUAAAUUUAUUGCUCUAGGAUCAAAUUAUGUGAUGCAUGAUCAAAUAUGAAAUGGGGUGUUGUUGGGGGUCCAAAAAUAGGUGGUAUUCAUGGCUGACUAGGUCAAUGUACAGUUCAUUGUCGAUAAGACAUUUUAAGAUAACUUCUCACCAGUGACAUAAUCAAAAUUUUCAAAAAGAGCUUUUAAAUUUUGGAUAGUAAAUUCGAAAAUAAAUUACUGUAUACGAAUUUAAAUUUGGGCGCCAUAUAUGUAGAGCAUAUUGCAUGCCCUUGUCAUUGCGCUACAAGUCUGUAUGGUUCUAAGGAUUUUCAAAAUACCAUAUAUACCAAUAUAAAGUAUGAUUUGAUUUAUAUAUAUAUUAUAAUUUUCCAUCAAAGGGUGCAUGUGUAACUGGACACCCUGACACCACCGUAGUUCCGCUUCUGACAUGACCUAACAUAGUUUAUCUACGUACGUAUACAACAACAUAGUUUAAUUAAUAGGUCGUUGUGUUACGUAUAUUGGAAUAAACUUUGUUCAGUUACCUUCUCUUAUCCAGUAAUUAAUUAUUAUUAUAUCAUCACCAUUCAGCAAAUUCAGUCAGUACAAUAUACUAUAUAGUUUUUAAUUUCUACAUCAUAUAUACAAAAUUGGUAUAAUAUCGUGGGUGACAUUUGAUGAAGAAUUAAAUUGUGGAGGAUUAGUGAUAUGACUGAUGAUAUCUCAAAUUUAAUUAAAAAGAGUUUCAAUUACUCUUUCACUUUAUUAUCAAUUGUUUUUCUUAGUGACAAUUAAAAUAUAGGAAAUAUUACAUGAUGUAACCAAGAUAUAAAGGAUUAAGCUUUCACGCAUCCAAUAAAAUUAGAACGAUAUAGAGAACAUUAAUAUAAGGAUGAAACACGAAAUAGUCCAACUAGAAAAAAUAACUCACAUAUUAGAGUUGGGUCGCAAAGUUAAUGUACGCAUGAUAUAUGUUUGCAUAUAUAUAGUUUUAUUACUUAAUCAAUGAUUAUUUAAUAUAUAUGUUUACCUCAUUAAAUCAAUUAAUCUCAUAUAUAAUAAUAAUAAUAACAUAUUAAGUAUAAUUGCACACGUGAGUAUAGGGAAUGAUAAAAUGUAUGUAAACUUUAUCCUAUUUCAUAGAAUGUAUGCGAAUUCCACUCCUCUCUCACAUAAACAAAGACGCAAUUUUUAAUAAAGUCUCAAUUCAAAUAUAACAAUACAUAAUACUCCUAUACAGUAAUGAUUUGAUGUAAAUAACGAGUGUAAGUAAAUUUCACCUCUUCCUUUUUUUGAGGAUAAGAAGAAUGUCUCGUCAAAAAUCGUAGCUAGUGGCAAGGAGAUAUAUUUGUACGUUGAGUAAGUAAAGAGAGGUCCAAAUUGUUCCCCAAAAAUGGGAAGAAAAUUAAAGAUAAAUCUAGUUGGUGAAGUGUUGCCUAUCCAAUCUAAUCUAAUAUCUAUUGAUCCCACUAUGACAAGAGAUAUCAAAGAUUGUAUGUACUUUGAUUCAACAAUUUGCACGAAAAUUUAUAGUGUUUGGAUAAGGAAGUAUCACAUGUUUGGUAAGAUAUGCCUUUCACAAUCUAAGCCUACAUCCUAGGUUAGUGAUUAUCCUCAAAGGCUCAAUUUAUUGAUUUUCGAAAUUUAAAUAUUAUCGCAUAAAUUAAGAUGUAGGGGUAUAAUGUAUUGUUGAUUGUGACGAUAUGUAUUAAUAUCAGAGGUGGGAUUAGAAAUUUUUAGUUCAAUGAAUUCUUAAAUUAUAAAUAUAGUGUUUGAGUCAAAGUUAUUAAAUUUUAUCAACUUUGUAUCCCUCAUGCACUAUGGCGGCUCUGUGCCAGCUCCAACGACUAUUACAACUCGUUAAAACAGCUACAAUAACAAUGUACUGUUCUCUCCGUCUUAAUUUAUGAGACAUUUUAAUAUUUAGUAAUAAUUUAUUUUUUAAAAUGCGUAUUUAUUCUUAAUGAGAUGAUAUAUAAUCACAUAAAUAUUUAAGAUUUAUUUUAGACAUAAAAUUUUAAAAAAUCUAUUUUUCUUUUUUUAAACUCAAUUAAAUUAAAUAAUAUUAUAUAAAUUGAAAUGAAGCACAAAGCAUAUUUUAAACUGUAGUAGCGUGGCACUGUGGUAACCAUGGACCUUUUUGAUGUGAUGCUACACUACUACUGGUGUCAUGUUUUUUUGUUUAAAUUUAUUUAGCUUGAUUCGUAUGUAAAUUAAAUUAACUAAUAUUAGGUAUGAUUAAGGUGUAAAAUCUUCAAUCAUUUGAAAAUAAAAUUUAUAUAUAUCUUUUAAGAAUAUUAUAAGUCACAAUUUAAUAAUUCAAAAAUAUAUAAAGAAUAUUUUAAAAAUUUUUAGCAAAAUAAUAUUUUUAAUUUAUUCAAAUAAAAACUAAGACACGUAAAUUAAACAAAGGAAGUACCUUUUUAGGUGGUGGUGCAGCAAUUGAAUAGCUUCUUCUCGAAUAAAAACGUCUACUAAUUAACAUCUAACAAUAACUUUAGCUUAAUUGACGUUGAAUGUCGUCUUUAGCUAGCUGAGCUAAUUAAUUAUCACCUCCAUUAGUAUUUAUAUAUUAUCAUUUUAGAUUUUAUGUUUUUAAGAAAUUAUGUAAGUUUAUCAUUGUAAUCCUAUUAGUAUUCUCUUGAAGUCAAGUUUCAAUAAAUGAACCUAAAUUAAAUUGUUUAUAUUAAUUAAAUUGAUCAAUGAACAUGAAUUAAUCGUUUAGUUUUCAUAUGUUGGUCAAAUUCAUUUUUUCAAGGCUAAUAACUCUCAAGGUAAAUAGAAAGAAUAGUAUAUCAUUUAUGUAUUGAUUUUGUGAAAUGACAAAUAUUAAGGACCAUCUAUUUUUAAUAAGGAUGACAUAUAAAUGAACGAAAAGAGUGGCAAAUGCUUGUGCAUAAUUUAUUAUUCUUUCCGUUACAAAAUAAAUGUUACUUUAAUAAAAUAAAUUUAUUUUCGAAAUAAGUGUUAUCUUAGGAAUUUUUAUGACACAAAUUAGUAUGUUUUCCACUUUAUCCUUUUAUUAAAAAGCUACUUUUUAUUGAUAGUUCUUAAUUCUCAAAAAUUAUCUAAUAAAUAGGUGUAAUUUAGUAAGUAUAGUACUUAUGUUUGAUGGGCAUGAAAUUAUAACUGUGGUAACACUCAAUAAUUAUUAUUGUGAAUUUGUAAAAAGUUGUUUUAUAUACUUUUGUUCAUUGUUGGACCUAAUAUCUAGGACAUAUAAAUCAACUAAAAAGGCUACUUUCCAUAAUGGAAUAAAUCCGCGUGAACUUAUAUUGUAUUUUGAAAUUUGAACAUUAGGUUUGGUCAAAAUGCCUUUCCAAUAAAAGCCGAUCAACAUUUCAAGAUUAAUUUUUUUAUCGAUCUAUCUGGCCUUCCCACGAUAGUCCAUGCGAUGUCACAUAAUGUAAUGUCUUGAGCCUUGACUCGUAGUGCCAUUUUCACAAUGGCCUAAAUACGAGGUCCUUAGCUCAAGCAAUUUAAUUUUGUACCGUUGAAGGAGGAUGUGUACGUAAGCCCAAUUCCUUGUUUCUAGAUCAUUCCCAUUUCAAUUUUAAAACUCAUAACCCAUUGGCCUUAUAAUGAUUCAUUUUCCAUGUUUAUAAUAAUUUACAUAUUCAUAUAUCAUUAACGAGCAACGUAUGUAACCAACGAGCACUAGGGUGGUGAAGUGAGAGCCCCAAGUAGUACGAAUAAAAAAAACUCAUAACCCCUUGGGGUUGAUAUAUGUAUAUAAUAAAUAGAUGAUAAUGACUUUGAACUACUAUUAUAAAACAUCAUUUUUUUAACAAUACAAGUCCUUCCUAAAGAGUUGAACCGUUGAAUGCAACUAUUUUCUCGAAAAGUUUAAGCUAUAUACAUCGUUAUUAUAAACUUUUCUCAAAUCGGACCAACCUAUUAUCAGCCAGUCUAGUCUUGUAAGCUGACUUUUUGUAUUCAAACCAUGUAAACUCCUUGUAUAAACUGUCUCCUUCAAUUAGUGAUGGCAAUGGUGCUAUCUUUUCACUCAAUGGUGGUCCUCCAAAAUAUAUCAUUGAUAGUCUUGAUUUCACACUGUUUGUCAAUACCCUAUGUUUCACACUCUUAAACCUCCCAUUAGUCAUCACCUGCACGUGCAGAUUCAGGAUUUUAAAUUUAUGAGUUCUGAACGAUUCCAUUAUUUCUCAAAACAAGUACAAAAUUUGAUGAGGGUAAUUUACGUACCUGUAAUGAGUCGCCAACAUUGAUGAAAAAAGAAUCCUGAUCAGAUGGAACAGAAAUCCAAUGUCCAUUUUUGAGUAAAAUUUGAAGACCGGAAGUGUUGUUGGAUCUUAAAACCGAUAUGAUUUGUGGAUCGGUAUGUUCUCCAAAUCCAAUCAAAUUUUUGGCAUUUAAUUCUUGAAUAUCAGGACAUGGAGGAUAAUGAUUCAGCCUGAAAACAGAGUCGCUCUUUUCAUCCUUCAAAAGCUUACUGAAAACAUUCGUCGGAUGAAUCUUUAAUCCCUCCGCCAACAUUUCAAGAAUCUCACAUGACAUUUUCUUCACUGCUGACACAUAAUCAUUAGCCGCAGCCCUGCAAUAACAAUAACAAUAACAAAAAUAAAAAAACGAUAAAAACAAGAAUCGAGAUCUCAAGACAUUACUCUGUUUUCCCCUGUUUUGCUCUGUUUUAGUGUCUUACCGUAUGUUUUCUGGAUUUACACCUAAUACAGAUGCGAAUUUCUGGUAAUUGAAUUCCGAGUUUGUUGAAAGGAGAAUGUAUUCAACCCAACCGAUGUCGCCAUUUUGUCCGAUUUUCUUAUUGCCAUAACCAAAAGGGUCAGCAGGCCCUGCUUUUAGUUUCUCAGGGAGGGGAGAUGAGAAGAAUUUAAUGGCUUCGGAUUCGAGUUUACUUAUGAAUUCCAUAGGAACAUCAUGGUUUAUGACUUUAAAGAAUCCGAAUUCUUCACAGGCAUUAACGAUGAGGUUUUUGGAGUCGGGUUUAGAGAGGUCUAUUACAGGAAUAUCAUUGAAGAAAGAGGGAGACUUGAAAGAGUUUUUUACUAUAGGAAAGUGAUCAAUGGCAGGUUUUGUUAAGACCACCAUUGUUUUUUU